GCCUUCGUGGUGUAGUGGUCAGCACGCUCGAUGCGUAACAGAGAGGUCUGUGGUUCGAUUCCGGCGAAGGCG
rfam:Stegodyphus mimosarum contig171513, whole genome shotgun sequence.